rnacentral:rRNA from 1 species
AUGGGGCGAACCACACCUAACCCUAUUUGGUGUCAGAUAUGGAAAUUAUCCUGUCUGGCAAAAGUCAAAAUUUUAAUAUGGCGUACGUUACAUGGCACUCUCCCAUGCCGGGCAACUCUUGCUAAUAGACACAUGAAGGUCUCCCCCCUUUGUCCUACUUGCUCUCAGGGUGUAGAAGACACGAAGCACAUGCUUUUCCUAUGUACUAAAGCAAAGAAGGUUUGGAAGAGGCUAGGAAUAGAUGAGAUUAUUGAUAGAGCUUGUGAGGUUGAUCAUGCUGGAGAGGCGUUACUGGAAUACCUUUUAGUUCUUCCAGAUCAAGAUUUGCGUAUUAUGGGGUACCAAAAUGUACGAGAAAUGAUAGAUAUUUCAGCUUGGUAUCUAUGGUGGGAGAGAAGGAAAUUAGUGCACAAGGAAACAACUCAGAAUGCAACUCAGAUAUCAAUGGGGAUCAUAGCCCUCACAUACAAUUUUGUAAAUGCAUCAUCUUCAAAGGCGUCCAUGAAAAAGUGGGGUUGGCAUUGUCCCCCUAGGGGUUUCGUGAAACUCAAUGUUGACGCCUCUUGUGACCACGACAUGCUGAAGGGUAUGAUGGGGGCGGUUUUGCGAGACGACAAAGGUAAGUUUAUUGCAGGAGGAAAUGGAAGGAUUGACCAUUGCGCGGAUGUUCUGAUGGCAUAAGCUUUAGCCCUCAAAUUUGGACUAACACUAGCGCAAAGGGCAGGGUGCAAUCACCUAAUCAUCAACUCAGAUAAUCUAGAGGUGAUUCAGACCAUGCAGGAUGGAGGAUAG